CUAGUUGCGGCCCUGGAGGCGUCCCAAGAACUCAAACCCGGGAAGCUGCGGAUCGCCGCCUCCUCGGUCUUGCCUACCCACGAUGGCCACCCGCUAGGGAAUCUGCGCCGCGGGCAAGAUCGCUCAUGAUUUCCUAGUAGCCUUGAAGACUUUGCCACCUGAAGACCAUAAGGCUUGAAAGAAAGUCCCAUCCUCACCCAUGCGUACAGUGAGCUGGUUAAUUCCAUUCUAGAUGAAGUUCGCCAACAGGUGGGAGUAUCAUACCCUCAGGACAAAGCGUGACAUGUGUUCUCUCCUUUCUCCAUUCUUGGAUCUCACUGAUUCUGUAUUCUUUACUCAGCCAUGGCAUCCAUGCAGGCAUCUUCAGGCAUUCAGCUAUGUGUUUGUGGGGAGAGGCCAAAGAUAUGGCAAGAACUCAUGUGUGGUCAAUAAAAUGGCUUUUGCAAACCUUG